rnacentral:rRNA from 1 species
UACGGAGGAUGCAAGCGUUAUCCGGAAUGAUUGGGCGUAAAGCGUCCGCAGGUGGCUAUGUAAGUCUGCUGUUAAAGAGUCUAGCUCAACUAGAUAAAAGCAGUGGAAACUACAAGGCUAAAAUGCGUUCAGGGCAAAGGGAAUUCCUAAUGUAGCGGUGAAAUGCGUAGAUAUCAGGAAGAACACCGGUGGCGAAAGCGCUCUGCUAGGCCGCAACUGACACUGAGGGACGAAAGCUAGGGGAGCGAAUGGG